rnacentral:rRNA from 1 species
ACAUGCUUACAACAUAGUGUUAAUGCACCGGAUCCCAUUAAAACUCCGCAGUUAAGCGCUUUCAAGCUAGAGUAGUACUGGGAUGGGGACCGCCCGUGAAGUCCUAGUGUUUUACAUGCC